GUGCUCGCUUCAGCAGCACAUAUACUAAAACUGGAACGAUACAAAGAAGAUUAAGCAUGGCCCUGUGCAAGGAUGACACGCAAAUUCGUGAAGCCUUCCAUAUUAAA
rnacentral:snRNA from 1 species